rnacentral:rRNA from 1 species
AUUGAACGCUGGCGGCAGGCCUAACACAUGCAAGUCGAACGAGUGGCGGACGGGUGAGUAAUGUCUGGGAAACUGCCUGAUGGAGGGGGAUAACUACUGGAAACGGUAGCUACUACCGCAUACCAUCGGAUCUGCCCAGGUGGGAUUAGCUAGUAGGUGGGGUAAAGGCUCACCUAGGCGACGAUCCUUAGCUGGUCUGAGAGGAUGACCUGCCACACUGGAACGGAGACACGGCCCAGACUCCUACGGGAGGCAGCAGUGGGGAAUAUUGGACAAUGGGCGCAAGCCUGAUGCAGCCAUGCCGCGUGUAUGAAGAAGGCCUUCGGGUUGUAAAGUACUUUUGGCAGGGAAGCGGUAUCCGCAGAAGAAGCACCGGCUAACUACGUGCCAGCAGCCGCGGUAAUAC